GAUGAACGCUGGCGGCGUGCUUAACACAUGCAAGUCGAACGGAAAGGCUCCUGCUUGCAGGGGUACUCGAGUGGCGAACGGGUGAGUAACACGUGGGUGAUCUGCCCUGCACUUCGGGAUAAGCCUGGGAAACUGGGUCUAAUACCGGAUAGGACGAUGGUUUGGAUGCCAUUGUGGAAAGUUUUUCGGUGUGGGAUGAGCUCGCGGCCUAUCAGCUUGUUGGUGGGGUAAUGGCCUACCAAGGCGUCGACGGGUAGCCGGCCUGAGAGGGUGUACGGCCACAUUGGGACUGAGAUACGGACCAGACUCCUACGGGAGGCAGCAGUGGGGAAUAUUGCACAAUGGGCGCAAGCCUGAUGCAGCGACGCCGCGUGGGGGAUGACGGCCUUCGGGUUGUAAACUCCUUUCGUCAGGGACGAAGCGAAAGUGACGGUACCUGGAGAAGAAGCACCGGCUAACUACGUG
rnacentral:rRNA from 1 species